CAACUGGGAGGGACUGGGAGGGACUGGGAGGGGCAGGAGGUGGGACUGGGGGAGAAGGGGAGGGACUGGGAGCAACUGGGAGGGACUGGGAGGGAAUGGGAGGGGAAAGAGGUGGGACUGGGAGGGAAUGGGAGGAACUGGGAGGGAAUGGGAGGGAAUGGGAGGGGGGGAGGUAGGACUGGGAGGGAAUGGGACAGACUGGGAGGUGAUACUGGGAGGGACUGGGAGGGGAAGGAGGUGGGACUGGGACGGACUGGGAGGGACUGGGAGAGACUGGGAGGGAAUGGGAGGGGGAGGAGGUGAUACUGGGAGGGACUGGGAGCAACUGGGAGGGACUGGGAAGGACUGGGAGUAACUGGGAGGGACUGGGAGGGAUUGGGACGGUCUGGGAGGGGGGGGAGGUGGGACUGGGAGGGAAUGGGAUGAACUGGGACGGACUGGGAGGGGAAGGAGGUGGGACUGGGAGGGAAUGGGAGGGACUGGGAGGGACUGGGAGGGGAUGGGAGGUCAGAUGGGGUCAUACUGGGAGGAACUGGGAGAGAAUGGGAGGGACUGGGAGGGGAUGGGACUGGGAGGGAACUGGGAGGGACUGGGACUGGGAGCAACUGGGAGGGGAAGGAGGUGGGACUGGGAGGGACUGGGAGGGGGAGGAGGUGGGACUGGGAGGGACUGGGAGGUGAUACUGGGAGGGACUGGGAGCAACUGGGAGGGACUAGGACAGGCUGGGAGGGACUGGGAGAGGGAAUGGGGGCAACUGGAAGAGACUGGGAGGGACUGGAAGAGACUGGGAGGGACUGGGAGAGACUGGGAGGGGAAGGAGGUGGGACUGGGACGGACUGGGACGGACUGGGAUGGACUGGGAUGGACUGGGACGGACUGGGAGGUGGGACGGGGUUAUACUGGGAGGGACUGGGAGAGAACUGGGAGGGACUGGGUCGUACUGGGAGGCGGCCCUUGGUUAUGCUGGGCUGUACUGGGCUGUACUGGGCCACAUUGGGUCACACUGGGCCUUACUGGGUCAUACUGGGAAGCGCUCCUGGGUCAUACUGGUCCAUACUGGUCCAUACUGGUCCAUACUGGUCUGUACUGGUCCAUACUGGUCCGUACUGGCCCAUACUGGGAUCCCCUUCCCCCCUCCCAGUGCUCCCAGUGCUGGAGCAGGUCCUGGUGCCUUAUACUGGUCUGUACUGGUCCAUAUCUCCCCGUAUCUGCCCACACUUGUCCAUACUGGUCUAUACUUGUCCAUACUGGUCUAUACUUGUCCAUACUGGUCUAUACUUGUCCAUACUGGUCCGUACUGGUCCAUACUGGGAUCCCGUUGCCCCCUCCCAGUGCUCCCAGUGCUGGAGCGGGUCCUGGUGCNNNNNNNNNNNNNNNNNNNNNNNNNNNNNNNNNNNNNNNNNNNNNNNNNNNNNNNNNNNNCCAGGUUGUGGGUCCCGCCCCCUAACCCCUGCCCCAUAGCGGACAAGCUGUGGUGCACGUCGGGCUGCGCCAACUCCCAGGUUGUGGGUCCCAGGCUGGAGUUGUGGGUCCCAGGUUGUGGGUCCCGCCCCCUAACCCCUGCCCCAUAGCGGACGAGCCGUGGCGCACGUCGGGCCGCGCCAACUUCUUGAUGUCCCAGUCUGUGGGUCCCAGGCUGGACUUGUGGGUCCCAGGUUGUGGGUCCCAGGUUGUGGGUCCCAGGCUGGAGUUAUGGGUCCCAGUCUGUGGGUCCCAGGUUGUGGGUCCCAGGCUGGAGUUGUGGGUCCUGCCCCCUAUCCCUGCCCCAUAGCGGACGAGCCGUGGCGCACGUCGGGCUGGGCCAACUCCUUGAUGUCCCAGUCUGUAGGUCCUGGUCUGUGGGUCCCAGGCUGGAGUUGUGGGUCCCAGGUUGUGGGUCCCGGGCUGUGGGUCCCAGGUUGUGGGUCCCGCCCCCUAACCCCUGCCCCAUAGCGGACGAGCCGUGACCCCAGGUUGUGGGUCACCCCCUAACCCCUGCCCCAUAGUGGACAAGCUGUGGCGCAUGUCGGGCCGGGCCAACUCCUCCAUGUACCAGGUUGUGGGUCCCAGUCUAUGGGUCCCAGUAUGGGGUUGUGGGUCCCAGGUUGUGGGUCCCGCCCCCUAACCCCUGCCCCAUAGCGGAUGAGCCGUGGCGCACGUCGGGCCGCGCCAACUCCUUGAUGUCCCAGGUUGUGGGUCCCAGUCUGUAGGUCCCAGUCUAUGGGUCCCAGUAUGGGGUUGUGGGUCCCAGCCUGGACUUGUGGGUCUGUGGGUCACCCCCUUAACCCGUGCCCCAUAGCGGACAGGUGCCAGGUUGUGAGUCCCAGGCUGUGGGUCCCAGUCUAUAGAUCCCAGACUGGAGUUGUGGGUCCCAGUCUAUGGAUCCCAGUCUGGACUUGUGGGUCCCAGGUUGUGGGUCCCAGGUUGUGGGUCCCGCCCCCUAACCCCGUGCCCCAUAGCGGACGAGC
rnacentral:lncRNA from 1 species